rnacentral:rRNA from 1 species
GACGAACGCUGGCGGCGUGCCUAAUACAUGCAAGUAGAACGCUGAAGGAGGAGCUUGCUUCUCUGGAUGAGUUGCGAACGGGUGAGUAACGCGUAGGUAACCUGCCUGGUAGCGGGGGAUAACUAUUGGAAACGAUAGCUAAUACCGCAUAAGAGUAGAUGUCGCAUGACAUUUGCUUAAAAGGUGCAAUUGCAUCACUACCAGAUGGACCUGCGUUGUAUUAGCUAGUUGGUGAGGUAACGGCUCACCAAGGCAACGAUACAUAGCCGACCUGAGAGGGGGAUCGGCCACACUGGGACUGAGACACGGCCCAGACUCCUACGGGAGGCAGCAGUAGGGAAUCUUCGGCAAUGGACGGAAGUCUGACCGAGCAACGCCGCGUGAGUGAAGAAGGUUUUCGGAUCGUAAAGCUCGGUUGUAAGAGAAGAACGAGUGUGAGAGUGGAAAGUUCACACUGUGACGGUAUCUUACCAGAAAGGGACGGCUAACUACGUG